rnacentral:rRNA from 1 species
AUUGAACGCUGGCGGCAGGCCUAACACAUGCAAGUCGAGCGGAUGACGGGAGCUUGCUCCUUGAUUCAGUGGCGGACGGGUGAGUAAUGCCUAGGAAUCUGCCUGGUAGAGGGGGACAACGUUUCGAAAGGAACGCUAAUACCGCAUACGUCCUACGGGAGAAAGCAGGGGACCUUCGGGCCUUGCGCUAUCAGAGGAGCCUAGGUCGGAGUAGCUAGUUGGUGGGGUAAUGGCUCACCAAGGCGACGAUCCGUAACUGGUCUGGGAGGAUGAUCAGUCACACUGGAACUGGGACACGGUCCAGAGUCGUACGGGAGGCAGCAGUGGGGAAUAUUGGACAAUGGGCGAAAGCCUGAUCCAGCCAUGCCGCGUGUGUGAAGAAGGUCUUCGGAUUGUAAAGCACUUUAAGUUGGGAGGAAGGGCAGUAAGCUAAUAUCUUGCUGUUUUGACGUUACCGACAGAAUAAGCACCGGCUAACUCUGUGCCAGCCGCCGCCGUAA